GGCUAGGACAUCGAAAGCCUCUCAUGCUCAAUAGAAUCAACCUCAUCCCUGUGUACCUUGCCCACGGUGUCUGCAUCUCGAUCUCCUUCAAGAUCUCUUCCAUCAACAUCGCAUACAUGAUGAACAUGCUCUUCAUCUGCAUCAAGAGUCCCCCUACCUCUAGUGAUCCUCCUCCUUGGUACAUCUCACAGUUGGCAUCUUGGAUGCGAUGGAUCCUGUUCAGAAUUUUAGAUUAGAAACCCUACACCCCAAUAAAGCGAACUGAACCAAAUUUUUGAGCUGAUUUAAACCAAUUUUAUUUUUAGAUGGUCAGUUUGCUUUUGGUUUUGAUUGAGAAAAAUUAAUUAAAUCAAUUCAAUUUCAAUAAUAACCCUAAACUAACACGCCCCUACUUGUGCACACAAUCCUAUACACGUCCACGAGGUCAGGAUAUUUCAAGACCUGUUUCAUUGACUAAUGUAAUACCCACCUGCAUGUUGACAAAUCCUUCGCACACCAAAAUUUGGACGCCUGACCAAUCAUCCAAUACAAUCAUCUGGCAAUCACACAAGCAUGCUAUCUUGGAUACAUGCC
rnacentral:lncRNA from 1 species